UGAGGUACAGUAGGACUGAUGAGGACUGAGGUACAGUAGGACUGAUGAGGACUGAGGUACAGUAGGACUGAUGAGGACUGAGGUACAGUAGGACUGAUGAGGACUGCGGUACAGUAGAACUGAUGAGGACUGCGGUACAGUAGAACUGAUGAGGACUGAGGUACAGUAGGACUGAGGUACAGGAGGACUGAUGAGGACUGAGGUACAGGAGGACUGAUGAGGACUGAGGUACAGGAGGACUGAUGAGGACUGAGGUACAGUAGGACUGAUGAGGACUGAGGUACAGUAGGACUGAUGAGGACUGAGGUACAGUAGGACUGAUGAGGACUGAGGUACAGUAGGACUGAUGAGGACUGAGGUACAGUAGGACUGAUGAGGACUGAGGUACAGUAGGACUGAUGAGGACUGAGGUGCAGUAGGACUGAUGAGGACUGAGGUACAGUAGGACUGAUGAGGGCUGAGGUACAGUAGGACUGAUGAGGGCUGAGGUACAGUAGGACUGAUGAGGACUGAUGUUCAGGAGGACUG